GUCACAUUGGUAAACUGUUUCAAUUAGUGGGUUGACCGGAUAUUUGAUUCAAUUACUAACCUAAAUUGAUUUGAGAAUUAAUUCAUCGUGAUUUAGUCCGAGUUUAAUAAUUAUACUUUUAAGGUUAAAUCAGUUUAUAAACUAUAAGCUGAUUUUCUUAAGUUAAACGCUCUCUAUAAUUUUGGUAAAAUAAUUUAAAGAUUAUGUAUAUUUUCA
rnacentral:misc_RNA from 1 species